CAACCAUGCACAGUUUUAUGGAGUGUUGAAAAAGCCAAUGAAGCCACCUCUGCUGGACAAAGUUAAGCAUUCAAUCGCAAAGAUGAAGGCUUUACCGGACAUGUUCCCAUCAUCUGUGGCUCCACCCAAGAAGUUAGGCCAUGCUAGUAAAGGUAUCCUUCACAUAAAUGAGUCUGCAGAAGACCACAACAACUUUCUUCAGGUGAGACCACUCUUCAGCCC